rnacentral:rRNA from 1 species
GUGAGGAAUUUUCCGCAAUGGGCGAAAGCCUGACGGAGCAAUGCCGCGUGAAGGAUGAAGGCCUAUGGGUUGUAAACUUCUUUUCUCAGAAAAGAAUUAUGACGGUAUCUGAGGAAUAAGCAUCGGCUAACUCUGUGCCAGCAGCCGCGGUAAGACAGAGGAUGCAAGCGUUAUCCGGAAUGAUUGGGCGUAAAGCGUCUGUAGGUUGUUUAAAAAGUAUUCUGUCAAAGAUUAGGGCUUAACCCUAGAUAGGCAGAAUAAACUUUUAAGCUAGAGUUUGGUAGAGGCAGAGUGAAUUCCCUGUGGAGCGGUGAAAUGCGUAGAUAUCGGGAGGAACACCAAAGGCGAAGGCACUCUGCUGGGCCAAUACUAACACUGAUAGACGAAAGCGAGGGGAGCAAAUGGGAUUAGAAACCCGUGUAGUCC